rnacentral:rRNA from 1 species
GAUGAACGCUAGCUACAGGCUUAACACAUGCAAGUCGAGGGGCAGCGGGAUUGAAGCUUGCUUCAAUCGCCGGCGACCGGCGCACGGGUGAGUAACGCGUAUCCAACCUUCCGUACACUCAGGGAUAGCCUUUCGAAAGAAAGAUUAAUACCUGAUGGUAUGAUGAGAUUGCAUGAUAGCAUCAUUAAAGAUUUAUCGGUGUACGAUGGGGAUGCGUUCCAUUAGGUAGUAGGCGGGGUAACGGCCCACCUAGCCAACGAUGGAUAGGGGUUCUGAGAGGAAGGUCCCCCACAUUGGAACUGAGACACGGUCCAAACUCCUACGGGAGGCAGCAGUGAGGAAUAUUGGUCAAUGGACGAGAGUCUGAACCAGCCAAGUAGCGUGAAGGAUGAAGGUCCUACGGAUUGUAAACUUCUUUUAUAAGGGAAUAAAACCUCCACGUGUGGGAGCUUGUAUGUACCUUAUGAAUAAGCAUCGGCUAACUCCGUGCCAGCAGCCG